UACAGAGGUCUCAAGCGUUGUUCGGAUUCAUUGGGCGUAAAGGGUGCGUAGGCGGCGCGGUAAGUCGGGUGUGAAAUCUCGGAGCUUAACUCCGAAACUGCAUUUGAUACUGCGGUGCUUGAGGACUGGAGAGGAGACUGGAAUUCACGGUGUAGCAGUGAAAUGCGUAGAUAUCGUGAGGAAGACCAGUGGCGAAGGCGGGUCUCUGGACAGUUCCUGACACUGAGGCAGCGAAGGCCAGGGGAGCAAACGGG
rnacentral:rRNA from 1 species